AUCCGUCUGUAACAUUUGGUGCAGUGCAGUAAGGAAAUAGCCUGAGGAAGAGCACUGCAGAGAGUGAGGUUUUGUCUGCUAAGAUAUUCUGUUCUGUUACAGUCCGUCUGUAACAUUUGGUGCAGUGCAGGAAGGAAGUAGCUGGAAGAUGAGCACUGCAGAGAGUGAGGUUUUGUCUGCUAAGUUAUUCUGUUCUGUUACAAUCCGUCUGUAACAUUUGGUGCAGUGCAGUAAGGAAGUAGCUGGAGGAAGAGCACUGUAGAGAGUGAGGUUUUGUCUGCUAAGAUAUUCUGUUCUGUUACAGUCCAUCUGUAACAUUUGGUGCAGUGCAGUAAGGAAGUAGCUGGAGGAAGAGCACUGCAGAGAGUGAGGUUUUGUCUGCUAAGAUAUUCUGUUCUGUUACAGUCCAUCUGUAACAUUUGGUGCAGUGCAGUAAGGAAGUAGCUGGAGGAAGAGCACUGCAGAGAGUGAGGUUUUGUCUGCUAAGAUAUUCUGUUCUGUUACAGUCCAUCUGUAACAUUUGGUGCAGUGCAGUAAGGAAGUAGCUGG